rnacentral:lncRNA from 1 species
CACAAAGUUGAGAGAGCCAGAAGCUGCGAAUCUUGGUUAUGUAGUCCUUCCAGCAACUGCCCAGGAUCCCCCAGUGUAAAACAGAAAUGGUUCUAACAGUGGAGCCAUUCUCAAGCUGAAGAUGAGAAUCAGAAUUUGGAUAUGGGAAAUCCAGAGGCAGGGGAAAGAAAAUGGCAGAGAGAUUCCAGUGACUCAGAGGUA